rnacentral:rRNA from 1 species
CGAACGCUGGCGGCGUGCUUACCACAUGCACGUCGAACGGAAAGGCCCCUUUGGGGGUCCUCGAGUGGCGAACGGGUGAGUAACACGUGAGUAACCUGCCCUUGACUUCGGGAUAACUUCAGGAAACUGGGGCUAAUACCGGAUAGGAAUCCUUGCUGCAUGGUGGGGGUUGGAAAGCUUCGGCGGUUUUGGAUGGACUCGCGGCUUAUCAGCUUGUUGGUGGGGUAGUGGCUUACCAAGGCUUUGACGGGUAGCCGGCCUGAGAGGGCGACCGGCCACAUUGGGACUGAGAUACGGCCCAGACUCCUACGGGAGGCAGCAGUGGGGAAUAUUGCACAAUGGGCGGAAGCCUGAUGCAGCAACGCCGCGUGCGGGAUGACGGCCUUCGGGUUGUAAACCGCUUUCAGCAGGGGCGAAGCUUGUGGUGACGGUACCUGCAGAAGAAGCACCGGCUAACUACGUG